rnacentral:rRNA from 1 species
UGGGGAAUUGUUCGCAAUGGGCGCAAGCCUGACGACGCAACGCCGCGUGGAGGAUGAAGACCUUCGGGUCGUAAACUCCUUUCGAUCGAGACGAAUGGCCUCCGGGUGAAUAAUCCGGAGGAGUGACGGUACCGAGAGAAGAAGCCCCGGCUAACUCCGUGCCAGCAGCCGCGGUAAUACGGGGGGGGCAAGCGUUGUUCGGAAUUACUGGGCGUAAAGGGAUCGUAGGUGGCCAACUAAGUCAGACGUGAAAUACCUCGGCUUAACCGGGGAACUGCAUCUGAUACUGGAUGGCUUGAGUUUGGGAGAGGGACGCGGAAUUCCAGGUGUAGCGGUGAAAUGCGUAGAUAUCUGGAGGAACACCGGUGGCGAAGGCGGCGUCCUGGACCAAUACUGACACUGAUGAGCGAUAGCCAGGGGAGCAAGCGGG